AUACUUAUCUGGUGGGAGAGAUACUAUGAUCACGAAGGUGGUUUUCCUAGGGUGAGGCUUAUCCAUUGUACUCUGUACGUGCUGACCCUUGCGAUUUCCCCAAAUGUGGGAAACUCGACUGCGUGAUUUGUGGUAGUGGGGGACUACGUUCGCGCUUUCCCCUG
rnacentral:snRNA from 1 species